GAUGAAGAACGCAGUGAAAUGCGAUAAGUAGUGUGAAUUGCAGAAUUCAGUUAAUCAUCGAAUCUUUGAACGCACAUUGCGCCCCUUGGUAUUCCAUGGGGCAUGCCUGUUCGAGCGUCAUUUGUACCUUCAAGCUUUGCUUGGUGUUGGGUGUUUGUCCAUUCUCUUGCAGAGGGACUCGCCUUAAAGUAAUUGGCAGCCAGUGUUUUGGUUUUGAAGCGCAGCACAAGUCGCGAUUCAAAGCUAUACGCCCGCUUCCACAAGCCUUUUUCACUUUUGACCUCGGAUCAGGUAGGGAUACCCGCUGAACUUAAGCAUAUCAAUAAGCGGAGGA
rnacentral:misc_RNA from 1 species